rnacentral:rRNA from 1 species
UACAGAGGGUGCAAGCGUUAAUCGGAAUUACUGGGCGUAAAGCGUGCGUAGGCGGUUAUUUAAGUCGGGUGUGAAAGCCCCGGGCUCAACCUGGGAAUUGCAUUCGAGGCUGAAUAGCUAGGGUGCGGAAGAGGGAAGCGGAAUUUCCGGUGUAGCGGUGAAAUGCGUAGAUAUCGGAAGGAACACCCGUAGCGAAGGCGGCACUCUGGGCCGGUACUGACGCUGAGGAGCGAAAGCGUGGGGAGCAAACAGG